rnacentral:misc_RNA from 1 species
GAUGAAGAACGUAGCGAAAUGCGAUAAGUAAUGUGAAUUGCAGAAUUCAGUGAAUCAUCGAAUCUUUGAACGCACAUUGCGCCCGCCAGUAUUCUGGCGGGCAUGCCUGUUCGAGCGUCAUUUCAACCAUCAAGCCCCAGGCUUGUGUUGGGGACCUGCGGCUGCCGCAGGCCCUGAAAACCAGUGGCGGGCUCGCUGUCACACCGGGCGUAGUAGCACAUCUCGCUCAGGGCGUGCGGCGGGUUCUUGCCGUAAAACAACCCCCCCUUUUCACCAAGGUUGACCUCGGAUCAGGUAGGAAUACCCGCUGAACUUAAGCAUAUCAAUAAGCGGAGGA